CUUGACUCUAUAAGAGGUCUAGCCUGCCCAGUGACCUAGUUCAACGGCCGCGGUAUCCUAACCGUGCGAAGGUAGCGUAAUCACUUGUCUUCUAAAUAAAGACUAGUAUGAAAGGCACCACGAGAACUAAACUGUCUCCCUUUUCCAAUCAGUGAACCUAAUGCCCUCGUGAAGAAACGGGGAUUUUAAAAUAAGACGAGAAGACCCUAUGGAGCUUUAAACAUCAUAAUCACCUGCCUACUAAACCAAGAUACUCAGGUCCCCCGCCCAAACCCAUGAUGAUUAUAUGUUUUUGGUUGGGGUGACCGCGGAGAAAAACACAUCCCCCGCGAUGAAAGCCCACCCAAACAACAAGCCACAGCUUUAUGUAUCAACAAAUUGACACUAUUGACCCAAUAUAUUGAUUAACGAAC
rnacentral:rRNA from 1 species